GGGGUCUUUACAAAGGGGGCUGGUCCGCACGGAGGAAUAGCUUAUAGGCUGGAGGUGGGGAUGCAC
ensembl:miRNA